GGUCACCGCUAUUGGAGUUCGCUUAAGCCAUGCGAGUCAAGGGGUCCUUUUGGACACCGGCGAACUGCUCAGUAACACGUGGAUAAUCUGCCCUUGGGCGGGGGACAGCUUCGGGAAACUGAAGGUAAUACCCCAUAGGUCAAGAUUGCUGGAACGCUUCUUGACUAAAAGCUCCGGCGCCCAAGGAUGAGUCUGCGGCCUAUCAGGUUGUAGUGGGUGUAAUGGACCCACUAGCCAGCGACGGGUACGGGUCGUGAGAGCGAUCGCCCGGAGAUGGAUUCUGAGACACGAAUCCAGGCCCUACGGGGCGCAGCAGGCGCGAAAACUUUGCAAUGUGGGAAACCACGACAAGGGAACUCCAAGUGCCAGCACAUGCGUGUUGGCUUUUCUCAAACCUAAAAAGUUUGAGGAAUAAGGGCUGGGUAAGACGGGUGCCAGCCGCCGCGGUAAUACCCGCAGCCCGAGUGGUGAUCGUUAUUAUUGGGCCUAAAACGUCCGUAGCCGGUUCAGUAAAUCUCUGGGUAAAUCGACUAGCUUAACUAGCCGAAUUCCGGAGAGACUGCUGAACUUGGGAUCGGGUGAGGGUCGAGGUACUUCUGGGGGAGGGGUGAAAUCCUUUAAUCCCAGAAGGACCACCGGUGGCGAAGGCGUCGACCUAGAACGACUCCGACGGUAAGGGACGAAACCCUGGGGCGCAAACGGGAUUAGAUACCCCGGUAGUCCAGGGCGUAAACGCUGUGGGCUUGGUGUUGGGUGUCCUACGAGGGCAUUCAGUGCCGUAGAGAAGUUGUUAAGCCUACUGCCUGGGGAGUACGCUCGCAAGAGUGAAAC
rnacentral:rRNA from 1 species